ACCUUUAGCGUUAGCACAGACACACACAGGUAAGGAGAGCGAGAGGUGGGUUGGGUUUGAUCGGAGACAGGGACGAGGCAGAGCAUGGGUAGGGGGCCAUCAACAGAAUUCCAAAUUUGAUUUCUGUUUGCUCGCUCACAAAAUGGAGGGACUCACCACAAACACACUCAGGCGUUGUUGCUCCCUCCCCUGCACUGCCUCUUCCCUGGCUCCUCACCGUCUCCCAUCCACCUAUCCUCUCUCUUUCUCUCUCUCGUUAUGGUUUUGUAUAAUUUUUUUUCCUGCAUUCUUUUCUCAGUACAAGUCCUACACUAAUUUGGCUGUCUUUGCACCAGUACUAAUAAACACCGCAGGUCCCUGCAAUAGGGUUUACAACAAUUCUAUUGUAAUGACUGCUGUAAAACAUCCGCAUCAUUUAAUUCAACUUUCCGGUUUCAGUCAGCCCUGCAAAAGUGCUCCUCCGUUCGUCCGCGUUUGGUGUUGGCUUCUGCGGCUCCGGUGCCCAGAGUUGCUGCCGGCGGAGGCCGAGCAGGAGCGCAACUAACAAGAGCGGCCAAGGCGCCAGUGAUCCUCACCAUGGACAGGAGAUCGAUGGAGAUGAGCGUGAGCUUCCGAUGCUUCGGUACCCGAAGAAAAGAACGGGAACAAAGGCGAGAAACAUGAUCCACCUCUAUGCUUUUUUGGCAACAUAUCCUAUGCUUAAACAGUUAUGGUGUUCAAAUGUACACAUUAAUAGAGCGUUUGGUUUGAAGAAUCACACCAUCUAAAUUGAGGUGGUGCAUCAUGAAUUUA